UCGGGAAUUUUGGGCAAUGGGGGAAACCCUGACCCAGCAACGCCGCGUGAAGGAUGAAGUAUUUCGGUAUGUAAACUUCGAAAGAAUAGGAAGAAUAAAUGACGGUACUAUUUAUAAGGUCCGGCUAACUACGUGCCAGCAGCCGCGGUAAUACGUAGGGACCAAGCGUUGUUCGGAUUUACUGGGCGUAAAGGGCGCGUAGGCGGCAUGACAAGUCACUUGUGAAAUCUCUGGGCUUAACCCAGAACGGCCAAGUGAUACUGUCGCGCUAGAGUGCAGAAGGGGCAAUCGGAAUUUUUGGUGUAGCGGUGAAAUGCGUAGAUAUCAAGAGGAACACCUGAGGUGAAGACGGGUUGCUGGGCUGACACUGACGCUGAGGCGCGAAAGCCAGGGGAGCAAACGGGAUUAGAUACCCCCGUAGUCCCUGAGCGGGCUGGCAAGGCGCAU
rnacentral:rRNA from 1 species